rnacentral:rRNA from 1 species
CCCAUCAGUUGUCGACGGUAGGGUAUUGGCCUACGGUGACUAUAACGGGUGACGGAGAGUUAGGGCUCGACUCCGGAGAGGGUCUGCUGAGAGAAGGAAACCAUAUCCAAGGAUAGCAGCAGGCGCUUAAAUUACCCACUGUGGACUCCACGAGGUAGUGACGAGAAAUAUCGAUGCGAAGCGUGUAUGCGUUUUGACGGUCGGAAUGAGAGCAUUGUAAAACCCUCAUCGAGGAUCAACUGGAGGGCAAGUCUGGUGCCAGCAGCCGCGGUAAUUCCAGCUCCAGAAGCAUAUGCUAAAGUUGUUGCAGUUAAAAAGCUCGUAGUUGAAUUUCUGGCAUGGGCGACCGGUGCUCUCCCUGAAUGGGGAUUGAUUGUCUGUGUUGCCUUGGCCAUCUUUUUCAUGUCUUUAUUGGGAUGAAUUUUUUUACUGUAAUCAAAGCAGAGUGUUCAAAGCAGGCCGUAGGGCCGGUAUGUUUAUUAUGGGAUGAUCAGAUAGGACUCGGGUGCUAUUUUGUUGGUUUGCACAUCUGAGUAAUGAUUAAUAGGAACAGUCGGGGGGUAUCCGUAUUUAGGAGCUAGAGGUGAAAUUCUUGGAUUUCCGAAAGACGAACUACAGCGAAGGCAUUUACCAAGCAUGUUUUCAUUAAUCAAGAACGAAAGUCUGGGGAUCGAAGAUGAUUAGAUACCAUCGUAGUCUAGACC